rnacentral:rRNA from 1 species
GACGAACGCUGGCGGCGUGCUUAACACAUGCAAGUCGAGCGGUAAGGCCCUUUCGGGGUACGACGAGCGGCGAACGGGUAGAGUAACACGUGGGUGGACCUCGCCCUCCAGCUCUGGGAGUAAGCCUCGGGAAACCGGGGUACUAAUAACCGGAUAUGACUCCAUGUCGCAUGUUGUGGGGUGGAAAGCCUUGUGCGGCUGAGGA